GGAUUGGCGUGUCGGUCGUGCCUUAAGGGGUAUGAACUGGCGUCGUCGAUUUCUCACCUUCUGGAGAAACGCGAUGCCCUUAAUUGGGUGUCGUGCGGAACCAGGACCUUUACCUUGAAAAAAUUAGAGUGUUUAAAGCAGGCAUUUUUGCUCGAAUACAUUAGCAUGGAAUAAUAAAAUAGGACCUAGGUCUAUUUUGUUGGUUAUUGACAUAGGUA
rnacentral:rRNA from 1 species